UUAGGAAGUUAUAUACGUAACAAGGUUUCCGUAGGUGAACCUGCGGAAGGAUCAUUACUGAAAUGUAACAACUUCUAUUGAAAGGUUCCAGAGUAGGCGCUACAACGCCGAAAUGACCUUCUCACCCUUGUGUACUCACUAUGUUGCUUUGGCGGGUCGACCUGGUUCCGACCCAGGCGGCCGGCGCCCCCAGCCUUAACUGGCCAGGACGCCCGGCUAAGUGCCCGCCAGUAUACAAAACUCAAGAAUUCAUUUUGUGAAGUCCUGAUAUAUCAUUUAAUUGAUUAAAACUUUCAACAACGGAUCUCUUGGUUCUGGCAUCGAUGAAGAACGCAGCGAAAUGCGAUAAGUAAUGUGAAUUGCAGAAUUCAGUGAAUCAUCGAAUCUUUGAACGCACAUUGCGCCCUCUGGUAUUCCGGAGGGCAUGCCUGUUCGAGCGUCAUUUCAACCCUCAAGCUCUGCUUGGUAUUGGGCAACGUCCGCUGCCGGACGUGCCUUGAAGACCUCGGCGACGGCGUCCUAGCCUCGAGCGUAGUAGUAAAAUAUCUCGCUUUGGAGUGCUGGGCGACGGCCGCCGGACAAUCGACCUUCGGUCUAUUUUUCCAAGGUUGACCUCGGAUCAGGUAGCU
rnacentral:rRNA from 1 species